CUAAAACAUCAUCAAAACAUGCAUAAGAAAGAAGCAAAGGAAGGCUGGGUAGGGGACUUUCGGCGGCAGGUUCGGCGGCCGAAGGUCCCUACAGAGUCGAAAGUCAUGCACUUUCGGGGGCAAGGUUCGGCGGCCGAAAGCCUUCAUAGACCCGAAAGUCACUAUCCUUCGGAGGCAUGUUCGACGGCCGAAACUCCCCUCUAGAGCUGAAAGUUCAACUUUCGGAGGCGAGUUUAGGCGGCCUAAAGCUGCCUCCACAGGCAGGUUCGGCGGCCGAACAUGGCUUCGGCAGCCGAACCUGGGUUCUCCAGAAUGGCAGAACCCGAUUUGCC
rnacentral:lncRNA from 1 species